AUGGACGAAGUCUGACCGAGCAACGCCGCGUGAGUGAAGAAGGUUUUCGGAUCGUAAAACUCUGUUGGUAGAGAAGAACGUUGGUGAGAGUGGAAAGCUCAUCAAGUGACGGUAACUACCCAGAAAGGGACGGCUAACUACGUGCCAGCAG
rnacentral:rRNA from 1 species